rnacentral:rRNA from 1 species
UGCGGACUCCUACGGGAGGCAGCAGUGGGGAAUAUUGGACAAUGGACCAAAAGUCUGAUCCAGCAAUUCUGUGUGCACGAUGACGUUUUUCGGAAUGUAAAGUGCUUUCAGUUGGGAAGAAAAAAAUGGCGGUACCAACAGAAGAAGUGACGGCUAAAUACGUGCCAGCAGCCGCGGUAAUACGUAUGUCACAAGCGUUAUCCGGAUUUAUUGGGCGUAAAGCGCGUCGUGGUGGUUAUGUAAGUCUGAUGUGAAAAUGCAGGGCUCAACUCUGUAUUGCGUUGGAAACUGCAUGACUAGAGUACUGGAGAGGUAAGCGGAACUACAAGUGUAGAGGUGAAAUUCGUAGAGAUUUGUAGGGAUGCCGAUGGGGAAGCCAGCUUACUGGACAGAUACUGACGCUAAAGCGCGAAAGCGUGGGUAGCAAACAGGAUUAGAUACCCCUGUAGUCCUAUC